rnacentral:rRNA from 1 species
UACGUAGGGUGCAAGCGUUAAUCGGAAUUACUGGGCGUAAAGCGUGCGCAGGCGGCUUUGCAAGACAGAUGUGAAAUCCCCGGGCUUAACCUGGGAACUGCAUUUGUGACUGCAUGGCUGGAGUGCGGCAGAGGGGGAUGGAAUUCCGCGUGUAGCAGUGAAAUGCGUAGAGAUGUGGAGGAACACCGAUGGCGAAGGCAGCCCCCUGGGGUAACACUGACGCUCAUGCACGAAAGCGUGGGGAGCAAACAGG